AGUGCCGGUCGAUCUGAGCCAUUGGAUAUUAGGGUUGGGGGAGUUUUCUUCUAUUUAUACCUCCCUAACCCUAGCAGCCACGUCCUCCCACCCUAGCAGCCAUCCCCUUUUGUGCCUUGCCCCAAGAGAAGAGAGGAAGAACAAGGGAGAGAAGAGAGGGAAGAUUAGGGCACGCACUCGCCUGUCGUCGUCAUCGUUCCUCUUCAAGAAUUGGUGGUUAUGCUCCGGAUCAUGCUUAGUACAUUUUCUUCUUCGAUGAAGGCAAGUGAAUGUAGCGGUGGUUGCUACCGUUUUGACUUGUUGUUUCAUCGCCUACACUCUAAUAUUCAGAAUCAUCGAAUUCUUUUGUAAUUGAACUCUAUGGUGAUGCUUUACUUGAUUGUAUUAUAUUGAUGCUUAAUCAUAUAUUGAUGAUGAUGAUGAUGAUUCGAGUAAGACCCACGAGAUUAAUUCACACUCCUGAAGGUGAAUGAAGUAUUAUUUGAGGUUUGUAUUAUAUCUGAAGGUAAACGAAGUAUUAUUUGAGGUUUUUAUUGUAUCUGAAGGUAAACGAAGUAUUGUUUGAGGUUUGUAUUGUAUUUGAAGGAAGUGAAGUAUAUUGAUAAAUACAACAUGCCAUAUACAUUGCAUGAUUCACUUGCAUCUGAAGUUUUGUCGUGACCUAUGGUCCGACCGUACCGGUACAACUUAGCAUCGUACGUUGCCCGAGGAGGGGUACGAUGCGGCUUCAUACCCUUAGAGGUACGAAGGCAGAGGACAUAUGCAUUGCAUUCAUAUGCAUUCAUUGAAGUGAUAUUUGCAGAUGGUGUGGUUUUAUACUCUAAGAGGGAAGUUUUAUACAACCUAUUGUGGUCGUUCGAGGAAAUGAGAUGGCAUUGGUUAUUUUGGGACUAUUGAGUUCUAUAUCUACAAGUAUUUCUGAUCUCAAUUGUGAUCCCUUUUAAAAUGUUGAUUAAUUCAAUUCUUUUGCUUUAAAUAUCUCGUCAAAAUAAUUUACUUGCUGAGAUGUUUCAUCUCACUCUUGCAUUACUCAAUGCAGGUACUUGAUUCAUGUUGGGAAUGAGAGAAGUAGUAGCACGUCCACCUUCACUCUCAUAAUAACGCUGCCCAGGCACAACCAUGAUUUAAUAAGAAACUUCUUGUCAAGGAUGUUUGUUUUUAACUAGUCGUGCACACUAGUUAAUUCAGUUUAUGUCGUUAUGGUUAUCUUCCCAUUGCUAGCAGAUUAUUAAUGCCUAGUAUGUUUUCUUAUCAUGAUAUCUGUUUAUACUCUGUUGCUUCCACGUUUAUGCAAAUUUCCAAAGGAGAUGCUGUCGAAAUUUUAUUUAUGAAUGUUAGUUGUGUACUUUAGUAGCAUUUCGGGGAGUUUGUGGAUCCUGGGGUGUUACAGUUGGUAUCAAAGCAUAGGCUUUAGAUUCUUGGCAAUUUGAAGAUAAAUUUGACACACUUGCACAUAUAGGAAGGGUGUGGGUUCAAAUAUCUUUGAUAUAUGUUAAUGUCUUUGAAGUGCAGAUGAAAUAAUUUCACCAUCCCUAAUCCUUUAUGGUGAUGUGGUAUGUUGUUAAUGACUUAAUGCCUGAUAUAAUUCAUUUCUAAAUUUUGAUAUUGUUUAUUAAUACGAUUGAUAUCGCUGUUCUUUUGUGAGAUUGAAGUCGUUAUUAUGCUUGUGAUAUACAUGUAUGCCUAUGUCGUUUUCAACAUGUUUUUCAUGGUUGAGUUUUAUUACAAUAAUAUUGUUAUAUAUGUUUGAUUGAGGAUGUUUCCAAGAGGAGUGUGAAUUGCAUGUUUUGGGUUACAAGGUAACCAUCGAUUUGGAUUUAAGUUGUUUGGCGGUUGGUGGAUAGCUCCAACUAUCUUUGCAAGGAAUGAUUGUUUAUUCCGAGAAACCAGUUCUGAAAGAAAUAAAUAUUGGUACUUUUAUAUGGAUUUUGGGGGGAAAGUCUUUACAUAGCUAGCCAGAGUGGAUUACAUGUCUCCCUUCUAUCUUGUGUUUUAGUAGCCACAAAGCCUAGAUGUGGUUUAAAGUGGUUGCAUGUUAGUCAUGCUAAUUGUAGAAUAAAUCUUUUAUUUUCUUGAUCCAUUGAUUAUAUAUUAAUACGUUGAGGAUCUGAUGGUUAUCUCCCUGAUGCAUGCUUGUGGAGCCAUUGUUGGACCACUUAUCUAUUGGUUUGAAUGAAGUCAUUGCCUAGCCUAGAGUUGGUUGGGUGUGGUUAGUCACCUAUUUCUAAAUGAUGUUGUUCUUACAUCAGAUUGAGAUGUUUGUCAUGUGUGUGAAGGAUUACAGGGUUAUUAUUGACCAUGUAUGUCUGGUACUUUGAGUGCAUCGUAGGAUGGAAUGAAAUGUAAGUUUCUGAACUACAGUAGAUGAAGACUUAUAUUAUGUGUAGGUUAACCUUACUAGUUUGGAUAUUUUUUUAGUUGAGUUGUUGGAUGAAGUAUGGUGACAUUAGUUAAGCAAAGUAUUGUGUUGUUGUUGUGCUGUCACUGCUCUUUGUAGAGUUUUUGGCAUUUGUUCGAUGAACUGUGCCGCACAGAAUGUUAUUGGCUUCUUGUUGGCUUUAUUGCUCCAUUAGUUCUGUAGACUUUCUACCUUUUGUGGGGUGUAAAGAACGUUAGAUUACAUGAUUAUCUUUUUCAUGACGUCAAGAACAAGGUUUAUGAAGAUUAGGAGUUUUGUUUCAAUGGAACUACUUGUUUCGUGGUGCUUUGAUGUGAGGUGUUUGAUCUUCUUAGACAUUCAUCUGGUGUGGAUGUUUGACAAUUGAAUUAAAAUGAAUUGUUGAAGUUGGUAAGGGUUGCUCUUAGUGCAUAUUACCUCUUCAUAAAAAGAGUGUUGUUUUAAGACAUUGAUCUUGAUGUAUAGCUGCAUCCAAAUUCAAUGAUGGCAAAUCCUAGUGUUGAUUGCACCUAUGACAAUGCCUUGGGAAUUCGUUUUAUAUUGUUUUAUGAUUGUUGUCAAGGUGUGUCAUUUUCUUUGGUAAAUUAGUCCGACUUAGAGGUUAUUUCUUGAAAAACUCUUUUCAUGAUCUCGUCAAGGCUACUAGUCUACUAUAUGAGUCUAUUUAGGGUGUUUGACCGAGUUUUACCGUUGGUGAAUGUCUUGAUUUGUGGCUGAAUUCGAGGACGAAUUCUUUUAAGGGGGGUAGAAUAUAAUACCCUAAAAACCAAACCAUGUUUAAAAUUCUAAUAUGGUGUGUCCUACUGAUGAUCGGAGACCGUAGAUGCAUAGAUAUCGUUGAGACGAUUUCGAUCGACUACUAGUUUGCCUUGUUUGGAGUCUGAAUGUGUUUUUUCAAGUGGCGGUCGAUCUGAGCCAUUGGAUAUUAGGGUUGGGGGAGUUUUCUUCUAUUUAUACCUCCCUAACCCUAGCAGCCACGUCCUCCCACCCUAGCAGCCAUCCCCUUUUGUGCCUUGCCCCAAGAGAAGAGAGGAAGAACAAGGGAGAGAAGAGAGGGAAGAUUAGGGCACACACUCGCCUGUCGUCGUCAUCGUUCCUCUUCAAGAAUUGGUUGGAUUUCCUUUCCUCUCUCCAUUGUCCCCACUUGAUGGAUGUUUUACCUUGUUUUGGAUGAGUUUUAGGCCCUACAAUUAGCCCUUUAUGUUGGAUUAGAUGGGGGAUUAGAUUUUUGAUCUCGAAAUUAGUCCCUGCAGAAUGACAGAUUCGAUAGUUUUUAUUCAUACCAGUUUUCCGUGGUCUUAGGGGCCUCAAAAAAAAUAAAAAGUCUAUUUAUGAGUUGUAGAUAAUUUAGAUAUCAUUCCGUGACCGCAAAGAACAUCUCAAUCGGACAUCAGGUUAGAGAGUAAUUGCAGUUUGAUUAUAACAGUUUUCCAGUCUCAUAAUUAUGUGUAGAAUCUGUUCUCAUGAGAUUUAGACAAUUCUAUCAACAGAAUUGAAAUUUUGGUUAGUAAGAGAAGUUGUAUAUAAUUUCAUAAGCUUUCCAGAUUAAUAAAUAGUGUAUUCAUAUGAAUUUUGAAACUCCAGUUAUGUUUAUUUUACUGUGGCUGUUCCUGUUUGCCUGGCAAAAACCGAGCAGGUCUGUUCACUGGUGGGUUUCAUAUAGUAAAUUGCCAAAUUGGCUCCUCCAACUAUGGAGACUUUGGUAGAGGGAUAAAUGUUCUUACUGCCAGCAAAAUUUCAUAAUUUGUGGUUGAGUAGUUUGGGAGAUAUCGAAUUUUGAAUUUAACUAUGCUGCUGUCUAAAACAGAUUCACUCAGUUAUCUUGUCGGAUGUUUUAGAACUUAUAGAUGGCAAAAUUUAAUUAUCCAUUGAAUACCGAAGUUGUAGAGUAUUUUGUGUAGAUACUCCUAGAGUAUUUGUUUGAUACCACCACUGUUAUAAUUUUAAAGAUACAAAAUUAACAAACAGCGCUGCUGCUGUUUGACAUGUGGUUCAGGGUGGGAGUCUUUUCACCAGGUCUUGGUUUCAAGCGUAGGAACGAUUUGUUGAUUGUUGGCAAAUGUUUAUGAAAUAUUUGUACUAAGUUUUAUGCCCCGCAACAGGUGGUUAUGCUCCGGAUCAUGCUUAGUACAUUUUCUUCUUCGAUGAACGCAAGUGAAUGUAGCGGUGGUUGCUACCGUUUUGACUUGUUGUUUCAUCGCCUACACUCUAAUAUUCAGAAUCAUCGAAUUCUUUCGUAAUUGAACUCUAUGGUGAUGCUUUACUUGAUUGUAUUAUAUUGAUGCUUAAUCAUAUAUUGAUGAUGAUGAUGAUUCGAGUAAGACCCACGAGAUUAAUUCACACUCCUGAAGGUGAAUGAAGUAUUAUUUGAGGUUUGUAUUAUAUCUGAAGGUAAACGAAGUAUUAUUUGAGGUUUGUAUUGUAUCUGAAGGUAAACGAAGUAUUGUUUGAGGUUUGUAUUGUAUUUGAAGGAAGUGAAGUAUAUUGAUAAAUGCAACAUGCCAUAUACAUUGCAUGAUUCACUUACAUCUGAAGUUUUGUCGUGACCUAUGGUCCGACCGUACCGGUACAACUUAGCAUCGUACGUUGCCCGAGGAGGGGUACGAUGCGGCUUCAUACCCUUAGAGGUAUGAAGGCAGAGGACAUAUGCAUUGCAUUCAUAUGCAUUCAUUGAAGUGAUAUUUGCAGAUGGUGUGGUUUUAUACUCUAAGAGGGAAGUGUUAUACAACCUAUUGUGGUCGUUCGAGGAAACGAGAUGACAUUGGUUAUUUUGAGACUAUUGAGUUCUAUAUCUACAAGUAUUUCUGAUCUCAAUUGUGAUCCCUUUUAAAAUGUUGAUUAAUUCAAUUCUUUUGGUUUAAAUAUCUCGUCAAAAUAAUUUACUUGCUGAGAUGUUUCAUCUCACUCUUGCAUUACUCAAUGCAGGUACUUGAUUCAUGUUGGGAAUGAGAGAAGUAGUAGCACGUCCACCUUCACUCUCAUAAUAACGCUACCCAGGCACAACCAUGAUUUAAUUAGAAACUUCUUGUCAAGGAUGUUUGUUUUUAACUAGUCGUGCACACUAGUUAAUUCAGUUUAUGUCGUUAUGGUUAUCUUCCCAUUGCUAGCAGAUUAUUAAUGCCUAGUAUGUUUUCUUAUCAUGAUAUCUGUUUAUACUCUGUUGCUUCCACGUUUAUGAAAAUUUCCAAAGGAGAUGCUGUCGAAAUUUUAUAUAUGAAUGUUAGUUGUGUAGUUUAGUAGCAUUUCAGGGUGUUUGUGGAUCCUGGGGUUUUACAUCGGGUCUUCUCCUCCACAUUCUGGUUGCAUGGCAGCAGCACGAGCUUCGGGUCAGGAGGUCACCUUAGAGGCCGGCGCGCCUGAUGACAGAGUUUUGAUUUCUGCUGGUGACGCUGAAUUGGUUCCCACUGAUGCUCUGUAGAUUACUUCGGUUGGUAAUCCUUCAUCAAGUCACCAACUGAAUUCCCAUGAUUUGGGGGUUCCUUCGUUCUUCUCCAAUCUCCAGGCAUUGGUUGACGAGAUGGCUGGUCAGCUGAGAUCGCAGGGUGCCUCUGUCCCAGAAAGAGCUCUGUCUCUGACACAUUGGAAUCCAGUGCUGCUUCAGCAGCGGGUAUCUGAUUUGGAGAUGGCGAAUGCUG